rnacentral:rRNA from 1 species
UAGAGUUUGAUCAUGGCUCAGAUUGAACGCUGGCGGCAUGCUUUACACAUGCAAGUCGAACGGCAGCGGAGGUGCUUGCACCUGCCGGCGAGUGGCGAACGGGUGAGUAAUGCAUCGGAACGUACCGAGUAAUGGGGGAUAACUUGCCGAAAGGUGGGCUAAUACCGCAUACGCCCUGAGGGGAAAGUGGGGGACCGCAAGGCCUCACGUUAUUCGAGCGGCCGAUGUCGGAUUAGCUGGUUGGUGGGGUAAAGGCCUACCAAGGCGACGAUCCGUAGCGGGUCUGAGAGGAUGAUCCGCCACACUGGGACUGAGACACGGCCCAGACUCCUACGGGAGGCAGCAGUGGGGAAUUUUGGACAAUGGGGGCAACCCUGAUCCAGCCAUGCCGCGUGAGUGAAGAAGGCCUUCGGGUUGUAAAGCUCUUUCGGUCGGGACAAAAGCGCACGUGUGAAUAGCAUGUGUGGAUGAUGGUACCGACACAAGAAGCACCGGCUAACUACGUGCCAGCAGCCGCGGUAAUACGUAGGGUGCGAGCGUUAAUCGGAAUUACUGGGCGUAAAGCGUGCGCAGGCGGUUUUCCAAGACAGGCGUGAAAUCCCCGGGCUUAACCUGGGAAUUGCGCUUGUGACUGGGAGGCUGGAGUACGGCAGAGGGGGGUGGAAUUCCACGUGUAGCAGUGAAAUGCGUAGAGAUGUGGAGGAACACCGAUGGCGAAAGGCAGCCCCCUGGGCCGAUACUGACGCUCAUGCACGAAAGCGUGGGGAGCAAACAGGAUUAGAUACCCUGAUAGUCCACGCCCUAAACGAUGUCGACUAGUUGUUCGGAGCGGUAACGCACUGAGUAACGUAGCUAACGCGUGAAGUCGACCGCCUGGGGGAGUACGGUCGCAAGAUUAAAACUCAAGGAAUUGACGGGGACCCGCACAGCGGUGGAUGAUGUGGAUUAAUUCGAUGCACGCGAAAAACCUUACCUACCCUUUGACAUGCCAGAGUCUGCAUAAGAUGCGGGGCGGUGCUCGGAGCUGGGCACAGUGCUGCCAUGGCCUGUCGUCAGCUCUGUCCUGGAAUGGUGGAUUAAGUCCGCAACGAGCCAUCCUGUCACUAGUGCAUCAUUAGUUGGCACCUCUA